rnacentral:rRNA from 1 species
AACGAACGCUGGCGGCAGGCCUAACACAUGCAAGUCGAGCGAGACCUUCGGGUCUAGCGGCGGACGGGUUAGUAACGCGUGGGAACGUGCCCUUCUCUGCGGAGUAGCCACUGGAAACGGUGAGUAAUACCGCAUACGCCCUUCGGGGGAAAGAUUUAUCGGAGAAGGAUCGGCCCGCGUUAGAUUAGAUAGUUGGUGGGGUAACGGCCUACCAAGUCUACGAUCUAUAGCUGGUUUUAGAGGAUGAUCAGCGAACACUGGGACUGAGACACGGCCCAGACUCCUACGGGAGGCAGCAGUGGGGAAUCUUGGACAAUGGGCGCAAGCCUGAUCCAGCCAUGCCGCGUGAGUGAUGAAGGCCUUAGGGUCGUAAAGCUCUUUCGCCAGAGAUGAUAAUGACAGUAUCUGGUAAAGAAGUCCCGGCUAACUCCGUG